rnacentral:tRNA from 1 species
GCCCACGUAGCUCAGUUGGCAGAGCGUAUCCUUGGUAAGGAUAAGGUCCCCGGUUCAAUCCCGGGCGUGGGCU